rnacentral:rRNA from 1 species
UACGUAGGGGGCAAGCGUUUGUCCGGAUUUAUUGGGCGUAAAGAGCGUGUAGGCGGUUUGGUAGGUCCGCUGUGAAAACUCGAGGCUCAACCUCGAGACGCCGGUGGAAACCAUCAGGCUAGAGUCCGGAAGAGGAGACUGGAAUUCCUGGUGUAGCAGUGAAAUGCGUAGAUAUCAGGAGGAAUACCGAUGGCGAAGGCAGGUCUCUGGGCUGACACUGACGCUCAUGCACGAAAGCGUGGGGAGCAAACAGG